CUGGCCUCAAAUCAGGUAGGACUACCCGCUGAACUUAAGCAUAUCAAUAAGCGGAGGAAAAGAAACUAACAAGGAUUCCCCUAGUAACGGCGAGUGAAGCGGGAAAAGCUCAAAUUUGAAAUCUGGCGGUCUAC
rnacentral:rRNA from 1 species